rnacentral:rRNA from 1 species
GUGUUGUAACUGCAGAAAAUAGAUGACAUCACUGAACUGAACAUUGCAGAGGAUUUGGAUAAUCGACCUUAAAAAAGCAAAAAUGCUGAACCAGGUGUUCUGGAGCCAUCGCCAAUGUCGCCAACUAUGUCAGCAUCUACACCAAUUUCUGAAUGUUUUGAAUCCAUUGUGCCGGAAUCAGAUGAUCAGAUAGAUAAUGAUCCAUUGCCAUCUACUCCAUCGCCAUCUAGCUCAACAUUAUCUCCUGUUUUCUCAUUACAUGAUAUUAAGGAACCAGAUUCAAAUAAAGAGAUCAAAGUUAUGAGACAUGAUUAUCUCCCACAAGACUAUGCAUUGACCGACCAUGAUCUAUGUGCACAUAUAGCAGUAGAAUCAUCUUUGAGUAAAGAAUUGCUGGUUCGGAUAGAUAGAAGUUAUGUGUUACAAAAUCAAUUGAUGUGCCUGCUAGAUGAAAAGGAGUGGGUAAAUGAUGAUGUGAUCUAUGCAUAUAUAUGUUGUUUAAAGGACUAAAUUCAUGUCCAGAAUGACAAUAAAGUAUAUGUUGAGAGUCCUUUUGUUACCUCACUAUUAAGACGGGAUGGUAACCUUGGCAUACAAGAAGAUAGUGCCUUUAUGACAAAUAUUGUCCAAAAAUAUAUGGAGUAUGACAUGCAACAUGCAUUGGUAUUUAGCUAUCGUGAAUACAAAAAAGUGAGAUUCAAACAUGCAUUGGUGCUGAAGUUUGUCCGAGAGGACCUUGCUAUUACGCUACGAGAAGUACAAUUUCAUUUGGAUAUUCUUAAAAGUCAAAACCUGAUUAAGGACGAUUGGAAAGACGUUGAUCUUACUGAAUGA